rnacentral:ncRNA from 1 species
AGGCUUGGUCCUGACUUUACUGUCGACUUUAUCUAAACUUACACAUGCAAGUCUCCGCCCUCCCGUGAGAAUGCCCAUAGUUUCCUGCUCGGAAACAAGGAGCUGGUAUCAGGCACAUCCUGUUGAGCCCACGACACCUUGCUUAGCCACACCCCCAAGGGUACUCAGCAGUGAUAAAUAUUAAGCCAUAAGUGAAAACUUGACUUAAUUACAGCUAAGAGGGCCGGUAAAACUCGUGCCAGCCACCGCGGUUAGACGAGAGGCCCAAGUUGACAGACAACGGCGUAAAGAGUGGUUAAGGGCUGCAACAAACUAAAGCUGAAUGCUCUCCGGGCUGUCAUACGUACCCGAGAGUUCGAAACCCAACUACGAAAGUGGCUUUAUUAAACCCGACCCCACGAAAGCUAAGACACAAACUGGGAUUAGAUACCCCACUAUGCUUAGCCCUAAACAUCGAUUUGAUGACCCCAUUAAAUCCGCCCGGAAAUUACGAACAUUAGUUUAAAACCCAAAGGACUUGGCGGUGCUUUAUAUCCACCUAGAGGAGCCUGUUCUAGAACCGAUAAUCCCCGUUAAACCUCACCCUCCCUUGCUCUACCCGCCUAUAUACCACCGUCGUCAGCUUACCCUGCAAAGGCCCAAUAGUAAGCAAAAUUGGCACAGCCCAAAACGUCAGGUCGAGGUGUAGUGGAUGGGAGGGGAAGAAAUGGGCUACAUUUGCUAGCCAUAGCAAAUACGAAUGAUGCAUUGAAACAUGCAACUGAAGGAGGAUUUAGUAGUAAGCAAAAAUUAGAGUGUUUAGCUGAAACCGGCCCUAAAGCGCGCACACACCGCCCGUCACCCUCCCCGAGCUACGAAGUACACAUAACUAAAACCCUAUAACUGCAAAGGGGAGGAAAGUCGUAACAUGGUAAGUGUACCGGAAGGUGCACUUGGAAAAAGCAGGAUAUAGCUAAGGUAGUAAAGCACCCCCCUUACAUCGAGGAGUCAUCCGUGCAAGCCGGAUUAUCCUGACGCCCAUCAGCUAGCCCCACCUUUAUAAUUAACAAAUCCCUUUUAUUUACCCUCAACCCCCCUCCCCAGAUAUAAUUAAACCAUUCUACCUCCUUAGUACGGGCGACAGAAAAGAAG